GGACGCGGGGCCGAGGGCUGGGCCGCCGCCGGGGGCCGUCCAGCAGGACGAGCAGUAAACGGAGGACCAGACAAGGAUGCCAUUUUCUGGAGAAGAUACUGCCCUGCUCUGAGUCAUGCGGAACCCUCUUUGAUAAAUGUCUUUUUUCUAUAAUAUUUUGAAUAAAAAUAUCGGACAAAGUGAAACAUUUCAGAACUGCUUAA